UAUUAUAUUGCAAUAAUUAAAUAAUACGUUUCGAACUAAUGAUUUUCAGUUCAUUCAUUAGGUAGUUACGCAUUAUCUAGUUGUUGUAAACAUUCAACU
rnacentral:pre_miRNA from 15 species